rnacentral:rRNA from 1 species
UUCCGGUUGAUCCUGCCAGACCUGACUGCUAUCGGAUUGAUACUAAGCCAUGCGAGUCAUUGCAGCAAUGCAAGGCAGACGGCUCAGUAACGCGUAGUCAACCUAACCUAUGGACGGGAAUAACCUCGGGAAACUGAGUAUAAUGCCCAAUAGAACACUAUACCUGGAAUGGUUUGUGUUCCAAAUGAUUUAUCGCCGUAGGAUGGGACUGCGGCCUAUCAGUUUGUUGGUGAGGUAAUGGCCCACCAAGACUAUUACAGGUACGGGCUCUGAGAGGAGUAGCCCGGAGAUGGGUACUGAGACACGGACCCAGGCCCUAUGGGGCGCAGCAGGCGAGAAAACUUUGCAAUGUGCGAAAGCACGACAAGGUUAAUCCGAGUGGUUUCUGCUAAAGGAACCUUUUGUUAGUCCUAGAAACACUAACGAAUAAGGGGUGGGCAGCUUCUGGUGUCAUCCGCCGCGGUAAAACCAGCACCUCAAGUGGUCAGGAUGAUUAUUGGGCCUAAAGCAUCCGUAGCCGGCUCUGUAAGUUUUCGGUUAAAUCUGUACGCUCAACGUACAGGCUGCUGGGAAUACUGCAGGGCUAGGGAGUGGGAGAGGUAGACGGUACUCGGUAGGAAGUGGUAAAAUCCUUUGAUCUAUCGAUGACCACCUGUGGCGUAGGCGGUCUACCAGGACACGUCCGACGGUGAGGGAUGAAAGCUGGGGGAGCAAACCGGAUUAGAUACCCGGGUAGUCCCAGCUGUAAACUAUGCAAACUCAAUGAUGCAUUGACUUGUGGUCAAUGCAGUGUUGCAGGGAAGCCGUUAAGUUUGCCGCCUGGGAAGUACGUACGCAAGUAUGAAACUUAAAGGAAUUGGCGGGGGAGCACCACAAGGGGUGAAGCCUGCGGUUCAAUUGGAGUCAACGCCAGAAAUCUUACCCGGAG